rnacentral:rRNA from 1 species
AUUGAACGCUGGCGGCAGGCCUAACACAUGCAAGUCGAACGAGUGGCGGACGGGUGAGUAAGGUCUGGGAAACUGCCUGAUGGAGGGGGAUAACGACGGGAAACGGUAGCUACUACCGCAUACCAUCAGAUGGGCCGAGAUGGGUUUAGCUUGUUGGUGGGGUAACGGCUCACCAAGGCGACGAUCCCUAGCUGGCCUGAGAGGAUGACCAGCCACACUGGGACUGAGACACGGUCCAGACUCCUACGGGAGGCAGCAGUGGGGAAUAUUGCACAAUGGGCGCAAGCCUGAUACAGCCAUGCCGCGUGUAUGAAGAAGGCCUUCGGGUUGUAAAGUACUUUCAUCGGGGAGGCGUUACCCGCAGAAGAAGCACCGGCUAACUCCGUGCCAGCCGCCGCGGUAAUUC